AUUUGUUUGCUUUUGUUUAAAACAGUGCACACACUCAUGCCAAUGAUAAGCCUGUAUGCAUCUAUAUGAACGCUGUUGUGGCGCUUGACACAAGCCUGUACUCAAAAACAAAAGUGCGCACAUAUCUAUGCCACUGUUUAGCCUGUUAAUAUACCAGUGUACGCUGUUGUGGCGUUUGUCAAUGUUUUUGUACUCACCUGCGCAAC